AGUGAACGCUGGCGGUAGGCCUAACACAUGCAAGUCGAACGGCAGCACAGUAAGAGCUUGCUCUUACGGGUGGCGAGUGGCGGACGGGUGAGGAAUACAUCGGAAUCUACUUUUUCGUGGGGGAUACCGUAGGGACACUUACGCUAAUCCCGCAUACGACCUACGGGUGAACGCAGGGGAUCUUCGGACCUUGCGCGAUUGAAUGAGCCGAUGUCGGAUUAGCUAGUUGGCGGGGUAAAGGCCCACCAAGGCGACGAUCCGUAGCUGGUCUGAGAGGAUGAUCAGCCACACUGGAACUGAGACACGGUCCAGACUCCUACGGGAGGCAGCAGUGGGGAAUAGUGGACAAUGGGCGCAAGCCUGAUCCAGCCAUACCGCGUGGGUGAAGAAGGCCUUCGGGUUGUAAAGCCCUUUUGUUGGGAAAGAAAAGCAGCAGGUUAAUACCCCGCUGUUCUGACGGUACCCAAAGAAUAAGCACCGGCUAACUUCGUG
rnacentral:rRNA from 1 species